UACGUAGGGGGCAAGCGUUGUCCGGAAUCAUUGGGCGUAAAGAGCGUGUAGGCGGUCCGGUAAGUCGGCUGUGAAAGUCCAGGGCUCAACCCUGGGAUGCCGGUCGAUACUGCCGGACUAGAGUUCGGAAGAGGCGAGUGGAAUUCCCGGUGUAGCGGUGAAAUGCGUAGAGCUCGGGAAGAACAUCGGUGGCGAAAGCGCUCUGCUGGACUGCAACUGACACUCAGGGACGAAAGCUAGGGGAGCGAAUGGG
rnacentral:rRNA from 1 species